CAGCCGCCGCGGGAAUACGAAGGGUGCAAGCGUUAAUCGGAAUUACUGGGCGUAAAGCGUGCGUAGGCGGUUUGUUAAGUCUGUUGUGAAAUCCCCGGGCUCAACCUGGGAAUGGCAAUGGAUACUGGCAAGCUAGAGUGUGUCAGAGGAUGGUGGAAUUCCCGGUGUAGCGGUGAAAUGCGUAGAGAUCGGGAGGAACACCAGUGGCGAAGGCGGCCAUCUGGGACAACACUGACGCUGAGGCACGAAAGCGUGGGGAGCAAACAGGAUUAGAUACCCCCGUAGUCCCUGUCUCUUAUAC
rnacentral:rRNA from 1 species